rnacentral:rRNA from 1 species
CCUACGGGAGGCAGCAGUGAGGAAUAUUGGUCAAUGGACGCAAGUCUGAACCAGCCAUGCCGCGUGCAGGAAGACGGCUCUAUGAGUUGUAAACUGCUUUUGUACGAGGGUAAACGCAGAUACGCGUAUAUGUCUGCCAGUAUCGUACGAUUAAGGAUCGGCUAACUCUGUGCCAGCAGCCGCGGUAAUACGGAGGAUUCAAGCGUUAUCCGGAUUUAUUGGGUUUAAAGGGUGCGUAGGCGGUCGGAUAAGUUAGAGGUGAAAUCCCGAGGCUCAACUUCGGAAUUGCCUCUGAUACUGUACGGCUAGAGAGUAGUAGCGGUAGGCGGAAUGUAUGGUGUAGCGGUGAAAUGCGUAGAGAUCAGAUAGAACACCGGUUGCGAAGGCAGCUUACCAGGCUACAUCUGACGUUGAGGCACGAAAGCGUGGGGAGCAAACAGGAUUAGAUACCCCGGUAGUC